rnacentral:tRNA from 2 species
UGAAGUAUGGUGUAAUGGUAGCACUACAGAUUUUGGUUCUGUUAGUCCCGGUUCGAAUCCGAGUACUUCAA